UUGGAGGGCAAGUCUGGUGCCAGCAGCCGCGGUAAUUCCAGCUCCAAUAGCGUAUAUUAAAGUUGUUGCAGUUAAAAAGCUCGUAGUUGAAUUUCGGGGUUAGUAGGUUGGUCAUGCCUCUGGUGUGUACUGGUCUCACUGAUUCCUCCUUCCUGAUGAGCCGUACUGCCAUUAAUUUGGUGCUGCGGGGAAUUUGGACUGUUACUUUGAAAAAAUUAGAGUGUUUAAAGCAAGCUAACGCUUGAAUACAUUAGCAUGGAAUAAUGAAAUAGGACGUUCGAUCCUAUUUUGUUGGUUUCUAGGAUUGACGUAAUGAUUAAUAGGGAUAGUUGGGGGCAUUAGUAUCAAUUGUCAGAGGUGAAAUUCUUGGAUUUAUUGAAGACUAACUACUGCGAAAACAUUCGCCAAGGAUGUUUUCAUUAAUCAAGAACGAAAGUUAGGGGAUCGAAGACGAUCAGAUACCGUCGUAGCCUUAACCAUAAACUAUGCCGACUAGGGAUCGGAUGAUGUUAAUUUUUUAAUGACUCAUUCGGCGCCUUACGGGAAACCAAAGUGUUUGGGUUC
rnacentral:rRNA from 1 species